rnacentral:rRNA from 1 species
CCUACGGGAGGCAGCAGUGAGGAAUAUUGGUCAAUGGACGCGAGCCUGAACCAGCCAAGUCGCGUGAAGGAAGACUGCCCUACGGGUUGUAAACUUCUUUUAUAGAGGAGUAAAGAGAGGCACGUGUGCCUUUUUGUGUGUACUUUAAGAAUAAGCAUCGGCGAACUCCGUGCCAGCAGCCGCGGUAAUACGGAGGAUCCGAGCGUUAUCCGGAUUUAUUGGGUUGAAAGGGAGCGUAGACGGGUUGUGAAGUCAGCUGUGAAAGUGCGGGGCUCAACCGUAAAAUUGCAUUUGAUACUGGCAGGUUUGAGUGCAGUUGAGGUAUGCGGAAUGCGUGGUGUAGCGGUGAAAUGCUUAGAUAUCACGAAGAACUCCGAUUGCGAAGGCAGCUUACUGGACUGCAACUGACGCUGAUGCACGAAAGUGUGGGUAUCAAACAGGAUUAGAUACCCGGGUAGUC